UACGAAGGGGGCUAGCGUUGUUCGGAUUUACUGGGCGUAAAGCGCACGUAGGCGGAUCGUUAAGUCGGGGGUGAAAUCCUGGAGCUCAACUCCAGAACUGCCUUCGAUACUGGCGUUCUUGAGUCCGGAAGAGGUGAGUGGAACUCCUAGUGUAGAGGUGGAAUUCGUAGAUAUUAGGAAGAACACCAGUGGCGAAGGCGGCUCACUGGCCCGAUACUGACGCUGAGGUGCGAAAGCGUGGGGAGCAAACAGG
rnacentral:rRNA from 1 species